GUUUGGACACCCGAAGUCCCGAACCUACAGGAAAACCAAACAUCCAAGAUUCCAAGUCUUCCUUACAAAUUACUGGUAAAUAUCUCAGUGAAAACUAAGAAUGCCUGGUGGUGUUUAAUCUAAAAACUUUUACAUCGGAAUACCUAAAAAAAACUGCUCGUGAUAUUUGGGAGUACCACUUACGUUUUCCUAAUGGUGGUCUCGCUUGAAACCAUGCAGCAAUCACAUCUAUAAGAACUAUAUUAGUGCACAUGGGAAGGACUUUGCAUCAAUUGUAAAUUGUAUUCAGAUGAAAAUUGCAAAUGUGUUAUUCCGUUAAGAGGAUCCCCUAAAUUUCACUUGGGUUAUUAUUAUUGUGGGUUAGCAGCACAAGGCUAUUGUUCCCUGAUUAGUUCCGUAAAGGAUUCGAGAAAAUUUAGUCUGCUUUCGUCAUUACCAAACAUUGCCAAAAAACUGAGCAUCGUGGACUCGUGGUGCAUUGCAUUGUGUAAAACCCACAAGUUUUCAAGUGCCUUUGAUCCUUUGAUUAAGCAGCUGUGCAUAGGCUUUUGCAAAAAGGAAUGAGGGUUAGUGCUAAAUAAAAAGAAGUAUUAGAAUUUUACCAAGCUAAUAUCUUGUGCAGACAUCAGAGAACCCCAUAUGAAGUGAACACUAGUAAGGGUGUAGCAGUUUCGGACAGCAACAUUUGGACUUUCAUCAUGGUUACUGUUGUUGGGCUACUGUGUUUCUCCCCCACUCCUUCCCAGAUGUUGGAUGGCAGAUGUUGGUUAUUUAUGAUUGGUAUUUCCAUUCAGAAUUUCCAAUGAAACACUUGGUUAGCACUUGUACCAACAUGCAAAUUUCAGUUGGUGAAUUGAAUUCAGGAAUGCCCUUGUUGCAACAUUGGAUUGGAUUGGAUCAGAAUGCAUAGCUGUCUUUCUUUGGCACAGGGAAGGACAUUUAUUGCUUCAACCCAUGUGCAUGUGCUUCAGUUAAUCUUGAUGUGGUUGUGCGGCCUUGCUAUUGCUAGAUACUUGGGGUCUGAAAUGCUACAUCUCAUCUCUCCCAAUUUGCAAAGAAGCUGCUGGGUGCUGGAGUAAUCUAGUCUCCAUCGCACUUGACUCAUUUCAUUUUCUGGAUUGCUUAGGAAGCCUCCUUGGUAUUAUCAAGUAAGUUAAUGACCGAGAGAAUACGGCCUACCGACUGUGAACAUCAGAAGGCCAGCAUCUCGUCAGCAUCUCUACGACAUAGACUUAGCGCUGACAUCGAACAUCGAAAAUCUUGUUUACUGUAGAUUUAUUCUUUGUAAAAUUUCUUUAUCAAAAUAGUUUUGAGGGACUGCUUAAUUCAACUUUACUCCUGUCAAUGUGUUCAACAUUAUUAAUCUAGCUGUUCCCUAAUAGUAAUUUCAGUUUGUAAAAUAUUAGGUUCAACAGCCAGGUGAAAUCUCUUCUUCAUUGGUGUCCAACACAACACAUUUCUAACAAGGCUCAACUGUGUGCACAUCAUGAAUAUGGAUUGAUCAUGUGUUAGAAACUUAGAUAAGGUUGCAGAGGAAUAUUUUCAUAAAAGCCAACUGUCCUUCAAACGGUUCGAAAUGGAAGA